rnacentral:snRNA from 1 species
AUCGCUUCUCGGCUCAUUGAGCUAAGAUCAAAGUGUAGUAUCUGUUCUUAUCAGCUUAAUAUCUGAUACGCAGUUCAUAGAACUGCCAGAAUAUUAGCUAGAUUUUUAUAACCUGGCGGAAUUGUGGAGCUUGCUUCGCAUCUGCCGAGAGUUGUGUCGGUCUUGCAGUACUUCCGACUUCAGCUCACCCAAU